GACGAACGCUGGCGGCGUGCUUAACACAUGCAAGUCGAACGGAAAGGCCCUGCUUUUGUGGGGUGCUCGUGUGGCGCACGGGUGUGUAACACGUGAGUACUCUGCCCCUGUCUUUGGGAUAACUUCAGGACACUGGGGAUUAUACCGGAUAGGCGCUCCUGCUGCAUGGUGGGGGUUGGAAAGUUUCGGCGGUUGGGGAUGGACUCGCGGCUUAUCAGCUUGGUGGUGGGGUAGUGGCUUACCACGGCUUUGACGGGUCGCCGGCCUGGGGGGGUGACCGGCCACAUUGGGACUGGGAUACGGCCCGACCUCCUAGGGGGGGAAGCGGUGGGGAAAUUUGCACAAUGGGCGGAAGCCGGAGGCAGCAACGCGGCGUGCGGGAUGACGGCCUUCGGUUUGUAAACCGCUUUGGCCUGGGACGAAGCGUGAGUGACGGUAAUGGGUAAAGAAGCACCGGCUAACUACGUG
rnacentral:rRNA from 1 species